UACAGAGGGGGCAAGCGUUGUUCGGAAUUACUGGGCGUAAAGGGCGCGUAGGCGGCCCGCUAAGUCGAACGUGAAAUCCCCGAGCUCAACUCGGGAACUGCGUCCGAUACUGGCGGGCUUGAAUCCGGGAGAGGGAUGUGGAAUUCCAGGUGUAGCGGUGAAAUGCGUAGAUAUCUGGAGGAACACCGGUGGCGAAGGCGGCAUCCUGGACCGAAAUUGACGCUGAUGCGCGAAAGCCAGGGGAGCAAACGGG
rnacentral:rRNA from 1 species